GCCUGGGUGGCUCAGUGGUUGAGCGUCUGCCUUUGGCUUGGGUUGAUCCUGGGGUCUUGGGAUCAAGUCCCGAAUCAGGCU
rnacentral:tRNA from 1 species